rnacentral:rRNA from 1 species
AGCGAACGCUGGCGGCAGGCCUAACACAUGCAAGUCGAACGGAUCCUUCGGGAUUAGUGGCGGACGGGUGAGUAACACGUUGGAACGUGCCCUUUGGUUCGGAACAACUCAGGGAAACUUGAGCUAAUACCGGAUGUGCCCUUCGGUGGAAAGAUUUAUCGCCAUUGGAGCGGCCCGCGUCUGAUUAGCUAGUUGGUGAGGUAACGGCCCACCAAGGCGACGAUCAGUAGAUGGUCUGAGAGGAUGAUCAGCCACACUGGGACUGAGACACGGCCCAGACUCCUACGGGAGGCAGCAGUGGGGAAUCUUGCGAAAUGGGCGAAAGCCUGACGCAGCCAUGCCGCGUGAAUGAUGAAGGUCUUAGGAUUGUAAAAUUCUUUCAGCGGGGACGAUAAUGACGGUACCCGAAGAAGAAGCUCCGGCUAACUUCGUG